rnacentral:sRNA from 1 species
GGAAGGAUCAUUACCGAGUUCAUGCCCUCACGGGUAGAUCUCCCACCCUAUGUCAUAUUACCUUUGUUGCUUUGGCGAGCCGUCAGGCUUCGGUCAGGCUACCGGCUCCGGCUGGUAAGCGCCCGCCAGAGGACCCUAAACUCUGAAUAUAAGUGUCGUCUGAGUACUAUCUAAUAGUUAAAACUUUCAACAACGGAUCUCUUGGUUCUGGCAUCGAUGAAGAACGCAGCGAAAUGCGAUAAGUAAUGUGAAUUGCAGAAUUCAGUGAAUCAUCGAAUCUUUGAACGCACAUUGCGCCCCUUGGUAUUCCGAGGGGCAUGCCUGUUCGAGCGUCAUUACAACCCUCAAGCUCUGCUUGGUAUUGGGCUCGGCGGCUUACCCCGCCGGCCCUAAAAUCAGUGGCGGCGUCUUCAGGCUCUGAACGUAGUAAAUAUUCCUCGUUACGGAGUCCUGAUGGCGGUGGCCAUUAACCCCCAACUUUCUAAGUUUGACCUCGGAUCAGGUAGGGAUACCCGCUGAACUUAAGCAUAUCAAUAAGCGGAGGAA